rnacentral:rRNA from 1 species
UCUGGUUGAUCCUGCCAGUAGUCAUAUGCUUGUCUCAAAGAUUAAGCCAUGCAUGUCUAAGUACAAACCUUAAUACGGUGAAACCGCGAAUGGCUCAUUAAAUCAGCUAUGGUUCCUUAGAUCGUCUCAUCCUACUCGGAUAACUGUGGAAAAUCUAGAGCUAAUACGUGCUUACAAGCCCUGACCUCACGGGAGGGGCGCAUUUAUUAGAUCAAAACCAAUCGGGGCUUGCCCCGUCUGCUUGGUGACUCUGGAUAACUUUUGUGCUGAUCGCAUGGCCUCUGCGCUGGCGACGUAUCUUUCAAGUGUCUGCCCUAUCAACUUACGAUGGUAGGUGAUAUGCCUACCAUGGUUAUAACGGGUAACGGGGAAUCAGGGUUCGAUUCCGGAGAGGGAGCCUGAGAAACGGCUACCACAUCUAAGGAAGGCAGCAGGCGCGCAAAUUACCCACUCCCGGCACGGGGAGGUAGUGACGAAAAAUAACGAUACGGGACUCUUUUGAGGCCCCGUAAUUGGAAUGAGUACACUUUAAAUCCGUUAACAAGUAUCUAUUGGAGGGCAAGUCUGGUGCCAGCAGCCGCGGUAAUUCCAGCUCCAAUAGCGUAUAUUAAUGUUGCUGCAGUUAAAAAGCUCGUAGUUGGAUCUGAGGACUCGAAUUGGUGGUGCACCAUACGGUGUUACUGCCGAUUCGGCCUACCUAGUCGGUGCUCGCUCUUGGUGUUCUUAAUUGAAUGCCCUGAGUGCCCGGCAAGUUUACUUUGAAAAAAUUAGAGUGCUCAAAGCAGGCCAUUAGCCGGAAUACUUCAGCAUGGAAUAAUGGAAUAGGACUUCGGUUCUAUUUUGUUGGUUUUCGGAACCCGAGGUAAUGAUUAAGAGAGACAGACGGGGGCAUUCGUACUGCGGUGUUAGAGGUGAAAUUCUUGGAUCGCCGCAAGACGAACAACUGCGAAAGCAUUUGCCAAGAAUGUUUUCAUUAAUCAAGAACGAAAGUCAGAGGUUCGAAGACGAUCAGAUACCGUCCUAGUUCUGACCAUAAACGAUGCCAACUGGCGAUCCGAGAUCGUUUGCUUAUUGACCUCUCGGGCAGCCUCCGGGAAACCAAAGUUUUUAGGUUCCGGGGGAAGUAUGGUUGCAAAGCUGGAAACUGUUCAAUUGCAACUCUGCCUGUGACACCAAGUGGUCGGGUUACUUGGUCUGUUCUGGCCCGGAGUCGGUAGGGUUUCCGGCCUUGUGCUCUUUCCUUACUGUUCUCUGUAACGCCGAAGGCGGGGCUUCCACGGUGGGGAAGCGGUUGUACAAAUCCGGCAAAUCCAGCCAAAUGGGUUCCGGACUCUGUCCAACCUGCAACUGGUAACAGCCUCGGCUGGCUAACAUUUGAGCUGGGACUCGCUUGGGAGGAGCGAGGAUAAUAUAAACCUCUAUGUGACUGAGGUGAGGAAUCUGGUUCUCGUAAAAUGGCUGGAGAUCCCGAGCCUGUAAGUCAUAAAUUAGUUCCCCACGAGGGGAGGUGUCGAAUUGAAGCCAGUGCGUGCCCUUACUAGUUUAAGGGAUUGUAUACUUCCUUUGGUGUACCCACCUGGAAGUGCCCAAGGGGUCCUAUCCCUGCACU